rnacentral:rRNA from 1 species
AGAAUCAACGCUGGCGGCGUGCCUCAGACAUGCAAGUCGAACGCGAAAGUCCCCGUUCGGGGGACAAGUAGAGUGGCGCACGGGUGAGUAACACGUAGGUAAUCUACCUUCGGAUGGGGAAUAACAACCGGAAACGGUUGCUAAUACCGCAUAAUGCAGCGGCACCUAAUGGUGACAGUUGUUAAAGCGGGGGAUCGAAAGACCUCGCGUCUGAAGAGGAGCCUGCGGCGGAUUAGCUAGUUGGUAGGGUAACGGCCUACCAAGGCGACGAUCCGUAGCCGGCCUGAGAGGGCGGUCGGCCACACUGACACUGACAUACGGGUCAGACUCCUACGGGAGCAGCAGUCGGGAAUUUUGGGCAAUGGGCGAAAGCCUGACCCAGCAACGCCGCGUGAAGGAUGAAAUCCCUCGGGAUGUAAACUUCGCAAGAACGGAAGAAGUUAGUAGGGAACAACACCCCGUAUACGAUGACGGUGCGUUUGUAAGCGUACCGCUAACUCCGCCGCCACGCGACGCCGACGGUAA